UAAGCCGUUGAAGGUGAAUCGUAAGGUUUGCUGGAGGUAUCAGAAGUGCGAAUGCUGACAUGAGUAACGACAAAGGGGGUGAAAAACCUCCUCGCCGGAAGACCAAGGGUUCCUGUCCAACGUUAAUCGGGGCAGGGUGAGUCGACCCCUAAGGUGAGGCCGAAAGGCGUAAUCGAUGGGAAACGGGUUAAUAUUCCCGUACUUCUGACUAUUGCGAUGGGGGGACGGAGAAGGCUAGGUGGGCCAGGCGACGGUUGUCCUGGUUCAAGUGCGUAGGCUUGAGAGUUAGGUAAAUCCGGCUCUCUCUAAGGCUGAGACACGACGUCGAGCUGCUACGGCAGUGAAGUCAUUGAUGCCAUGCUUCCAGGAAAAGCCUCUAAGCUUCAGAUAGUCAGGAAUCGUACCCCAAACCGACACAGGUGGUCGGGUAGAGAAUACCAAGGCGCUUGAGAGAACUCGGGUGAAGGAACUAGGCAAAAUGGUACCGUAACUUCGGGAGAAGGUAC
rnacentral:rRNA from 1 species